ACGUAGGGGGCAAGCGUUAUCCGGAAUUAUUGGGCGUAAAGAGUGCGUAGGUGGUUUUUUAAGCGUGAGGUGAAAGGCAAUAGCUUAACUAUUGUAAGCCUUGCGAACUGGAAGACUUGAGUGCAGAAGAGGAAAGUGGAAUUCCUAGUAUAGGAGUGAAAUGCGUAGAUAUUAGGAGGAACACCAGUGGCGAAGGCGACUAACUGGACUGUAGCUGACACUGAAGCACGAAAACGUGUGGAGCAGACAG
rnacentral:rRNA from 1 species